AAGACCUUGCGCUUUUGGAGCGGCCGAUGCCUGAUUAGCUUGUUGGUAAGGUAAAAGCUUACCAAGGCUUCGAUCAGUAGCUGGUCUGAGAGGACGGCCAGCCACACUGGGACUGAGACACGGCCCAGACUCCUACGGGAGGCAGCAGUGGGGAAUUUUGGACAAUGGGGGCAACCCUGAUCCAGCCAUGCCGCGUGAGUGAAGAAGGCCUUCGGGUUGUAAAGCUCUUUCAGCCGGAACGAAACGGUUACGGAUAACACCCGUGACUACUGACGGUACCGGAAGAAGAAGCACCGGCUAACUACGUGCCAGCAGCCGCGGUAAUACGUAGGGUGCGAGCGUUAAUCGGAAUUACUGGGCGUAAAGCGUGCGCAGGUGGUUUUGUAAGUCAGAUGUGAAAGCCCCGGGCUCAACCUGGGAACU
rnacentral:rRNA from 1 species